AACGUUAUUAUUAUGAUGGAUUUGUAUAUUAAAUUGUCAGUUUGUGUACCUCGGCUGAUUCCUGGACGAGGAUUUUAUGCACAAAUAAGUUCGGAAAUUACUAGUGAAUUUCCGGGCGUGACAUGCACGGUGAGUUCGAUGACGAUGAAGUUCCAAAGCGUGGUGGAUCUGUCUUAGGUCAUGCAGUAAUUAAUCGGGAAAGAUUGGCUGGUCAAGAUUGUAUAAUGAUUAUUUUUCCGAAGAACCUACGUACCUCGAUGUUCAGUUUAGACGCAGGUUUAGAAUGAGGCGACCUCUCUUUUUACGCAUAAUGAAUGCUAUUGAAGCACAUGAUGAAUAUUUUGUGCAGAAGAGAAAUGCGGCUGGUAUCCUUGGACUGUCAUGUUUGCAAAAGGUAA